GGGGUCCCCGCGACCCUCGGGCGCCGCACAAUCCCGGGGCCGCGCAGGCCGGGGCGGGGCGGGAGGGACCCGGGGUCGCGGCUGCCGCCCCGCCCCACCCCGCGGCCGAGGGACGGGGGACGGACUUGGCCGCAGACUCGGGACGCGACCGGAGCAGCCGGCCGGCCCCACACUCACCAUCUCCGGGGCUGGCGGUCCCGGCCUCCUCCCCUGGCCUCCCGCCCUGGCCUCCACGCCGCGGCACCGCUACCGAGAGCCCGCGGCGGCGAGGCACCGCGGCGGAUGCGGCGGAAGCGCACGGCGACACCCGGGCGCCUUGCGUAGCGUGGCCACACCCUCCUUCCCGGCGGCGCCCUCGGGUGCCUGAUCGACAGUGGGGGAGGUCGCCGAGCCGAGCGGACCCCACGGGGCCUGCUGACCGGAACCUCUUCCCUCCUGGCCCGUUAGCCUCGAGGCAGAACUGCCCCGGACCGGGGGCCGGACGCCGCGGUCUUGGGAGGAGGCGAAGACCGAGGGGUGCGCGGGGAAGCCCGGGCCCCGCCUCCAGGAUUAGGCCCAGGAGAUGCCAGUGAGGUGGCAAAAGGUGGGGACCACAGCAGGACCGUCUUGGUUGUGAGGUAAAGUCAUGUGCUCCCGUGGUGGAGGAACCAGACCUGACCAGGAAGUGAAAUUAUAAGGACAUGAUGAUGAAGAACCAAUGCCUGGGGAAAGGGUUGAUUUUCCCCCUCCUCUCUGUCACCCUCUGUCAGCCUUUCUUUUGGGAACCUGAUUAACCAUGGGUCCCUACGUGUUGGAUUAUAUAGCUGUAAAUGUCCCUGUGACAGGCUUUCAAGGCCAGAGAGUCAACAGGUGCCUGUGAAGAGUUGUUUCUCUGUGCUUUGGAACUCCCUGAACUCGGUAGGAUUGCAGGUGCACUUGACCGCUAGUAUAAAUGAUAGGUUACUAUGCCAGUUAACUGCUGUCUAACCUCCUAGGCUUAGUUCUUUUUUUAGGAAUUUAACUCUUAUUUAUUUGUUUUUUGGGGGUGCCCAGGAUCAUACCCAGCGCCUCACCCUGCUGCUGUCCCACUGAGCUGCAAACCCCAGCCCCCUCAGUUCUUAGAACAAUAGCUCUCAGGGAGGUAAACUCAAGUCACCUUGAGUCACUGCUGUCUGUGGGGAAGGCCACUUCCCGAUCACUGGCAGGUGUUACUGCCUUCUCCACACCCGUGAAGUGCUUAGGGUGAAGUCCCUGUGCGUGGUGUUUGGUCGUGUAGGCCAAGAAUUCAAACCCGCCAAUGUUGUAGUGAUUAAGACACGUCAUCGAUUUCCUACAAGAGCCGGUGCAACCUGCUUACAGCAAGGCCCCCGCCACACCAGGAAGCAAGCACGAAGCGAGCCUCCUCCCACACUGAACCCUUGUACCUCCGAACCCCUUUGAUCUGCACUUUAAAUCAAGCCUGCGGGGCUGCUCUUCGUUAGAGUGAGACCCUUCUGGAUGACUGACCACGCCCCUGCUUUAACAAUCUUGCCUUUUUGUCUUUUUGUCUGAUGUACAAAUUUCACGGUUUGAUUUCACACCAGCCCAUCCUUUGAAGGGUACCGGUUCCCUUGCCCACGCUGGACGUGGCUGAGAUGAGACCUUAUAGCCAUUGGGAGCCGGUGGAGCUGGCGUCUGAGCUCAGGUGUACCAGCACGGCUGUGCGGCUGUGGACACCAGAGUUGAUGGGAUGGUGACCAAGGGCAUGGAAUGGCGUGGACUUCAGUAACUGCUCACCUGCUUUAAACCAACACCUUAUUUUAGCCCUGCUGAUGAAAGUGUAGGCCGGGUGCAGGGGCACCCGCCUGCAAUCCAGGGGCUCGGGAGGCUGAGGCAGGAGGACUGCAAGGUCAAAGCCAGCCUCAGCAACUCAGCAAGGCCCUAAGCAACUUAGCGAGGCCCUGUCUCUAAA